UACGUAGGGUCCGAGCGUUGUCCGGAAUUAUUGGGCGUAAAGGGCUCGUAGGCGGUCCGUCACGUCGGGAGUGAAAACUCAGGGCUCAACCCUGAGCGUGCUUCCGAUACGGGGCGGACUAGAGGUAUGCAGGGGAGAACGGAAUUCCUGGUGUAGCGGUGGAAUGCGCAGAUAUCAGGAGGAACACCGGUGGCGAAGGCGGUUCUCUGGGCAUUACCUGACGCUGAGGAGCGAAAGCAUGGGGAGCGAACAGG
rnacentral:rRNA from 1 species